CUCUCGGGGUUACAGCCUUGCUGAAUUAUUCACCCUUGUCUUUUGCGUACUUCUUGUUUCCUUGGUGGGUUCGCCCACCACUAGGACAAACAUAAACCUUUUGUAAUUGCAAUCAGCGUCAGUAACAAAUUAAUAAUUACAACUUUCAACAACGGAUCUCUUGGUUCUGGCAUCGAUGAAGAACGCAGCGAAAUGCGAUAAGUAGUGUGAAUUGCAGAAUUCAGUGAAUCAUCGAAUCUUUGAACGCACAUUGCGCCCUUUGGUAUUCCAAAGGGCAUGCCUGUUCGAGCGUCAUUUGUACCCUCAAGCUUUGCUUGGUGUUGGGCGUCUUGUCUCUAGCUUUGCUGGAGACUCGCCUUAAAGUAAUUGGCAGCCGGCCUACUGGUUUCGGAGCGCAGCACAAGUCGCACUCUCUAUCAGCAAAGGUCUAGCAUCCAUUAAGCCUUUUUUUCAACUUUUGACCUCGGAUCAGGUAGGGAUACCCGCUGAACUUAAGCAUAUCAU
rnacentral:rRNA from 1 species